AGUUAAAAAAAUCAUCUAUUUAUAUUGUUAAAAAGUGGUGUGGCUAACAAAAUAAUCUGACAGUGGACACGUGACAUGUCACAUGUAUCUUAUGCUAAUAUAUAGAGACCAACUUUUAACAAAAAAAAUAGCUGAAAUUUUUAACA
rfam:Gossypium arboreum cultivar AKA8401 contig_38637_3, whole genome shotgun sequence.